AACGCAAAUUGCACUUCUUGGUAUUCCGAGGAGUAUGCUUGCUUGAGGGUUGGUCUAUAAAAAAAUCGUAAAAUUUUUUUACGGAUCUGGGUUUUCCGAGUUUUCUCGACUUCGGUUGCCUAAAAUUUAUCUUGACAAUGAGGUAUUAAUUAGAAAUGUACUAUCUUACACGUUGUGAGUUCGUUAAUAAUUAUACCAGUUGUUACGUCGCGUUAUUCAUCUAGUACCUUUGAUUAGGUGAAAUAAUUCAAUUUUUUAAUCCUACCUCAAGUCAAGUAAGGAUACCCGCUGAACUUAA
rnacentral:misc_RNA from 1 species